AUGGAAAUCAAUGAAGCCAGCAAAGAAAAGGAGCAUAACAAAUACCACAACCAUAAAGACAGACUGGUGCCGAGGAUCAAGGCAGUAUACGAAAUAUUACUCGGUGAAAAAUUCGAAAAGGAAAAGGCUAAAUGGGAAGUUCAAUUUUUAAAGGACGUUCCAAAGGUGAACAAAGGUGAAACCCCGUUUGCUGUUCUGAGAUUCGCGCAUCUCUUUGAUGGCAACCACUUCGUCGAAGAGAUAGACAAUUUCGAUGAUGGCACAGAACAAUGGAAAGCACAACAACUGUUCAGGCUACUAUUUAGCGAUCAGAAUACAAUCGAACCCAGCAAAAUGGGCGAUGAGAUAACAAAGAUCUACGAUGACGUCAAGGAAAAGGAAUAA
rnacentral:rRNA from 1 species